ensembl:lncRNA
GAGAUCUUGGUGCCCUUACAUCUGCUAGGCUGGCAGAAUGAAUUCUCUGGAAACAAUCUGGUCUGUAGCUCUGUGUCUGAGGAGAGAACCAGGAAGAUUUGGAUGGGGCUUGGGAAAGAGUUCCUGGAAGAAUUCACAGUCAGACUAGUUCAAGGUAAUACAUGAUGGUGACAAUGGUGUGGCAGGAUUGUUUCCCUGCUCCUCAAAGCGUGGCAUCUCCUGAGACCAAGAUACAACCGGUAGUGAAAUUUAGUUAGAUUCUGAAUCUAUGUUGAAGAUAUAUAUGUCAGCUGAUAGGACUUGCUGACAAAUUGAACAUGGAAUGAAAGAAAAAGAGAUGGAUCAAGGAUGACUCCAAGGUUUUUAGCCUGAGCAAUUUGAAGCAAGGAGUUGCUGUUUCCUGACAUGGCAAAAGCUAUAGGAUGAGGACAUACUGAAGAGGUCUGAAGUUUAAUUUUGGACGUGUUAUAUUUGAGAUGCUAUUAGACAUCCAAAGAAGGAUAUGAAGCAGGUCAUUGGAUACACAAGCCUGAAGUUCUUGGGAGAAGCCUGGGUUGGCAAUAUAAAUUUGGGACUGUUUAGAGCCCUGAGACUGGAUGAGGGCACCAGGAAGCAAGUGGAGAUAAAGAAGAGGAUCAAGGACUGAGUCUGGGGAAACCCGGCAUUUGGAUGGUGAGAUGCAGAAGAAGCAACAGAGAAGACUAACGAAGAGCAGUUACUGAAGUAGAAGGAAAACUAGAAGAAUGCAAUGUCAUGGAAGGCAAGCACAGGAAAUGAUUCCAGAGCAGACCUCAUCAACUGUGCCAAAAGUGCAGAACCCUGCCUGUGUUGACCCUCAUCUACCCUUGACCUCGUUACACUCAGAAGGAGUAAGGAGAAAAAGCAAACUUGCAAUAUGCUCUGCAUUCUGGAGAACUCAAGCUAAGACUAAGAUGUCCCCGUGGAUGGAUACAGCUAACAGACACUCAGCAGUCUGUGUCUCCCCUCCGUGCAGAAGUGUUUUAAGGUCAGAUUCCACUAACCUCGCUCAGCUCCACAGACCUGACUCUUUGAAGGUCAAGCAUGGUGCCUCUCUUGAGUAUAGUUACCAGUUCUUUCCUUUGCUUGUACCUGUACCAUUCGUUUGUGAAUCAAUCAUAUAUUCCCACUGAUUUCCUGUUUAGUGAUAUAGUAUUUGUGCCUUUGCAUGUGUGUCACUUCUUAUGUGCUCCUGACUUUGGUCAAGAUUAAGAACAGGAAUUACUGACAAACCUACCUUCCCUCCCCACUUCUGGCCCCCCCUCCCGAAACCAUCCCUGCUUUGCUGCUUUGGCACAUACACUCUGCUCUCGAUGUCUGGAGCUCCACUCCUGCCUCAUUACAUUUAUGCUAUGUCAUCUUUUGUGGGGAAAGGAUGUGAUUAUGCGAAAGGAGGGCCACUUGACUCCCAAGUCAGACUAAGUCUGCUUCUGGUAUAACUCUGCUCCCAGCUCUUUCCAGAAGCUCAAGUUCACAGACCCAAGCCCCAUGAGCAACUUUAGACCCUUGAUGCUGGUGUCAGACUGGGAGGGCUUUGGCUAUCAGCUGCAUAGUCCUGCUUCAGCCCC